rnacentral:rRNA from 1 species
UACGUAGGGCGCGAGCGUUGUCCGGAAUUAUUGGGCGUAAAGAGCUCGUAGGCGGCCGGUUGCGUCUGCUGUGAAAUCCCGGGGCUUAACCCCGGGCGUGCAGUGGAUACGGGCCGGCUGGAGGCAGGCAGGGGAGAAUGGAAUUCCCGGUGUAGCGGUGAAAUGCGCAGAUAUCGGGAGGAACACCAGUGGCGAAGGCGGUUCUCUGGGCCUGUACUGACGCUGAGGAGCGAAAGCGUGGGGAGCGAACAGG